UACGUAGGGUGCGAACGUUGUUCGGAAUCACUGGGCAUAAAGCGCGCGUAGGCGGUCUAAUAAGUCCUGUGUGAAAGACCCCGGCUUAACCGAGGAACUGCACAGGAUACUGUUGGGCUAGAGUGCAGGAGGGGAGAGCGGAAUUCCUGGUGGAGCGGUGAAAUGCGUAGAUAUCAGGAGGAACGCCAGCGGCGAAAGCGGCUCUCUGGUCUGUUACUGACGCUGAGGCGCGAAAGCUAGGGGAGCAAACGGG
rnacentral:rRNA from 1 species